GCGGCGGGGCCCGGGCUGCACCUGAGGGCCGGGCGCAGGCUGGGAGACUCACCGCGGGGCCGACCGGGCUGCGGGCCGGCGUCCCUGUCCUCCGCGGGCGAGCAGGGCCUCACCUUUUCAGUUCUGCUGUCACAGACACAAGGACCUCACCCGCUGGUGGGCACAGUGGCAUUCACCAAACGAGGGCCCGGGUUCUGACGCCGGCGGUCGGUCCAGCCCCUCAGCUACUGGCCAGCAGUGGGCCGUGGGCAGUGUGAUUGCCUGCUGAGUACCAGCCGCUCCCUGCAAGCUGAACCAGGUGGGCUCCGGAAGUCAGAAGUGACCUGCAGGCCAGAGCAGGAAGUGGUCAGGGGCCAAGAGAGGCUGUGCUGUCCCAUGGCCCUGCCCUUCUGCCACCUGGCUGCACAAGGCCAAGCUAACCUGGCCAGGCACUGCAGAGCCUGUCCCCCCCUGCAUGCAGUGCCCCCUUGCCCACCCUCGUCCCCACCCUACCCCACUGGUCUCUCUGGCCUGGUGGAGUUGCCACUGAGGCAAAAGACAGAACAAAACUAGGUGAAGGCUGAAUGUGUAGUGGCGCAAGCCUGUAAUCCCAACACUCUGGAGGCUGAGGCAGGAAGAUUGCAAGUUCAAGCCCAGCCUGGGCAACUUAAUGCCUUGGCGAGACCCUGCCUCAAAAUAAAAAAUUUAAAAAGGGCCAAGGAUGUAGCUCAGUUUGGAGGCCCUGGGUUCAGUGCCCAGUACCACAAAAAUAGUGCCAAACCUAUGAUUUUUACAAAUCCUAGAAGCCACACACAGACUACGCCGAAGACGGCGCCCUGGCGCAGAGUCUGUACAGAGGCUGCGGCCUGGUGGUUUUCACACCGGACACUUGGUGUCUCAUCUUUCCAACCCGCAG
rnacentral:lncRNA from 1 species